GACGAACGCUGGCGGCGUGCUGAACACAUGCAAGUCGAACGGAAAGGCCCUGCUUUUGUGGGGUGCUCGAGUGGCGAACGGGUGAGUAACACGUGAGUAACCUGCCCUUGACUUUGGGAUAACGUCAGGAAACUGGGGCUAAUACCGGAUAGGAGCUCCUGCUGCAUGGUGGGGGUUGGAAAGUUUCGGCGGUUGGGGAUGGACUCGCGGCUUAUCAGCUUGUUGGUGGGGUAGUGGCUUACCAAGGCUUUGACGGGUAGCCGGCCUGAGAGGGUGACCGGCCACAUUGGGACUGAGAUACGGCCCAGACUCCUACGGGAGGCAGCAGUGGCGAAUCUUGCACAAUGGGCGGCAGCCUGAUGCAGCAACGCCGCGUGCGGGAUGACGGCCUUCGGGUUGUAAACCGCUUUCGCCUGUGACGAAGCGUGAGUGACGGUAAUGGGUAAAGCUGCCCCGGCUAACUACGUG
rnacentral:rRNA from 1 species